GUCUAUUUUUAUUUCUUUUUUCUUUUACCAAAAAUCAGAAGUCUUUGAAGGUACAGCACUUACUCUUUCCUGUGUGGGGUAGAGGAAAACAGGAAUGGGGAGAGAGAUUGAGCAAGCAAGAAAGGUUGAGUGCGCGCGCGCGCACACACACACACACACACACACACACGAGAUGUUAUCUCUUCACGUGCCCCCUUUCCUACCCAAGGCUUGAGAAGUAAUGGCAGGUGCUCAGUUUUUGUAAUUUUGGGUGGUCUUUCUUGUGGCCUUGGCAUUGAAGCACUGACAAUUUGGAGGUUAUUGCACCAUUCCGGAGCGCUCCACAAGGGCUCUAAGUAACUCUGGCCUAGAGUUUGAUCACCCUUGUUUAUAUGAAACCAAGGAGAUAAGCUGGAGCCUUGGGAAAUGUGGUACUGACUUUGAGUUCUUUCUGUCUGCAGAAAGAGGGGCUUAUAGAACACCUCUUUUGAGCAGAUAGAUUAGAAUCAGAGGUGCUGGGAUAAUGAGCCAGAUAGCAAAAUAGUAAUGGUAGAAGAAUGAUAGAAGGCUGGCACCGGCAGUGUUCUUGAAUUCAAGAAAAAAGCUAGUGGAGUGUCUAGGAAUUUGGGGGGAUGGUCACUGUGUUGUGGCUCAAGUAGCUUCAAACAGUAGAACUUAUCUUAAUUUAAAACACAGAAGUGGCUGUGGGAACCAGUCAGAAGAAGAUUUUUCUUCCCCCAAAACCAAGGCUGGGGAUUUGGAAGCAGAUGCAGAGAAGAAGAUGGAAAAUAUCAGCUCACCAUUGCCCUGGUUGUGGAAAAUAGGGAAAUAGUUAAGAAAUGAAAAGAGCACCCCCAAAAAGAUGGGCCCCCAAAAGUGGGGUGGGGUAGAAAGAGACAACCUUACUAAGCAAGGAAAACCUUCUGUCUCUUGGCUGUGUAUAAGGUAUUUGGGUUCCCUAUUAAAAUACAACUAGUGUGCAUGAGGUGCAGAUAUUUUAUUUAUUCAAUUAAGGACCUUGGGCAGACACUACUUUUGGUCUUGUAAAAAAUGCUUAAAUAUUAGUCAUUUCCAAAUUAGGGUUAGGUUGGAGGGGGCAUAUUGCCAGAAAAGGCAUUGUCAAGGGAGGAGAAAUUCAUACCUACUUUAAAGACAGUUAAAGAUCUUUUGAAUGGGUACCAGUUGAGAGUAAUUCAUUUAACUGCUAUUAAGUACAGAUUGAAUAUCCCUCAUCCAAAAUGCUUGGGACCAGAAGCAUUUUGGAUUUCAGAUUUUUUUUUUUUUUUCAAAUUUUGGAAUAUUUGCAUUAAAUUUAGGUUGAGCAAAUAUAAUUCACAUCCAAAAAUCUGAAAUCCCAAACGCCCCCAAACCUGAAACUUUCUGAGUGCCAACAUGGUGGUCAAAGGAAAUGCUCAUUGGAGGCUUCUAGAUUUUGGAUUUUCAGAUUUAGGAUGCUCAACUUGUAGCAACUCCUUUAGAACACAAGGGCUGUAGAUGUGCCGUCUGACCCCUCUUCUGGAAGAGUCUUUGUGGGCUUUCAUCUUCCAGCUGCGUAUUUAUUAUUUUAUUAUUAUUUAAGCUCGUAGAUCUCCUUAUUUGGGUGGUUUAUUAGGAAAAGUCUAUUAGAAAAAUCUAAGUUCUUUUAGUCAGCCAUUUUCUUACUUUGACUCUGUUCUGCUUUUCCAGUCUUCACCAGGUACCUUAUGUUUAUUGUUACUGAAGUGAAACAAAUGACUCGAAGACUAAGCAGCUCAAAACAGUUAAUAUUAUCUCUCAGUUUCCAAGGAUCAGGAGUCUGUUAGUGGUUUAACUGAGUAGUUCUGGCUCAGGGUUUCUCAUAAGGUUACAGUCAAGCUGUCAGCUAGGCUUGCAGUCAUUUCAAGGCAACUGCUUCCAUAUUCAUAUAGUUGUUAACAAGACUCACUCCCUUACUGCCUGUUGGCUGGAUACUUCAGCUCCUGGCCUGUGCACAGAUAAGGCUGCUUGCAGCAUGGCAGCUUUCUUCUCCUAGAGCAAGUCAUGCAAGAGAGCAAGAACUCAGGCAAAAGCCUCAUUCUUUUACAGUGUAAUAUUGGAAAUGGCACAUUAUCACUUCCGCUAUAUGCUAUUGGUCAUAGAAACGAAAUUCACUCUGGUAGAGUGUGUGACUGGGACUCCACAGUAGGUGAGGAGCAUUGGGGACUGCCUUUGAGGUUGGCAGCCACAGUUACCUUGAUCUCCUAGUUAUUAUUAUUUCGUCUGUCUCUUCAAUUUACUUUUUAAAGGUUUCUCAUUUAGAGUCAUAGAAUCUAUUAAUGGUAAUCAUUGGGAAAAUCCCACAGAUGCCUAGGUUCAAUAAGCCUUUUUGAUGCAUUUAAGCUUUGUAAAGUACCAAAACAAUUUAUUUAAAAGUAUAUUAAAUCUUUCAUAAAGUUUAUCAAGUAAGUUAUUUGUUAAAUUAGAACUCUCAGCGCAUGGUCUAGGGAUCUCUGGAGGUCUCCGGGACCCUUUCAGGGAGGCCAUGAGGUCAAAACUGUUUUCAUAAGCAAAACCGAAACAUUCUUUGACUUUUUCAAUGCAUUGACAUUCGCAUUGAUGGUGCAAAAGCAGACAUGGGUAAAAUGAGUGAUUCCUCAGCGUGAUCAUGAUGGUAGUAACUGUACCAGUAUUCAUUGUAUUUUUUGACUGCCGUAACUUUUUUUAAAAAACUACUGAUUUUAAUUAAGAAUGUUAACAAUUGUUUAAAAGCACAGAACUCCCGUUAAAAAAGUAAAAUU